UACGUAGGGUGCAAGCGUUGUCCGGAAUUAUUGGGCGUAAAGAGCUCGUAGGCGGUUUGUCGCGUCGGCUGUGAAAACUCGGGGCUCAACCCCGAGCCUGCAGUCGAUACGGGCAAACUAGAGUGUGGUAGGGGGAGACUGGAAUUCCUGGUGUAGCGGUGAAAUGCGCAGAUAUCAGGAGGAACACCGGCGGCGAAGGCGGGUCUCUGGGCCAUAACUGACGCUGAGGAGCGAAAGCGUGGGGAGCGAACAGG
rnacentral:rRNA from 1 species